AUUGAACGCUGGCGGCAUGCCUUACACAUGCAAGUCGAACGGCAGCACGGGAGCAAUCCUGGUGGCGAGUGGCGAACGGGUGAGUAAUACAUCGGAACGUGCCCAGUAGUGGGGGAUAGCCCGGCGAAAGCCGGAUUAAUACCGCAUACGACCUGAGGGUGAAAGCGGGGGAUCGCAAGACCUCGCGCUAUUGGAGCGGCCGAUGUCAGAUUAGCUAGUUGGUGGGGUAAAGGCCUACCAAGGCAACGAUCUGUAGUUGGUCUGAGAGGACGACCAGCCACACUGGGACGGAGACACGGCCCAGACUCCUACGGGAGGCGGAAGUGGGGAAUUUUGGACAAUGGGGGCAACCCUGAUCCAGCAAUGCCGCGUGCAGGAAGAAGGCCUUCGGGUUGUAAACUGCUUUUGUCAGGGAAGAAAUCCUCUGGGUUAAUACCUCGGGGGGAUGACGGUACCUGAAGAAUAAGCACCGGCUAACUACGUGCCAGCCGCCGCAGUAA
rnacentral:rRNA from 1 species